UACGGGGGGGGCAAGCGUUGUUCGGAAUUACUGGGCGUAAAGGGCUCGUAGGCGGCCAACUAAGUCGGAUGUGAAAUCCCCAGGCUUAACUUGGGAACUGCAUCCGAUACUGGAUGGCUUGAAUCCGGGAGAGGGAUGCGGAAUUCCAGGUGUAGCGGUGAAAUGCGUAGAUAUCAGGAGGAACACCGGUGGCGAAAGCGGCUCACUGGACCUCUUCUGACGCUGAGGCACGAAAGCGUGGGGAGCGAUCCGG
rnacentral:rRNA from 1 species